rnacentral:rRNA from 1 species
UUCGGUGGUCAUAGCGUUGGGGAAACGCCCGGUUCCAUUCCGAACCCGGUAGCUAAGCUCAA